AACGAACGUUAGCGGCGCGCCUAAGACAUGCAAGUCGAGCGAGAAAGGGAUUCGUCCCCGGUAAAGCGGCGCACGGGUGAGUAACACGUAGGUAAUCAACCCUCGAGUGGUGGACAACUCUCCGAAAGGAGAGCUAAUACAGCAUGACGUGGCGGUCUUCCGAGAUCGUUUCCAAAGCGGGCCUCUUCAUGAAAGCUCGCGCUCGAGGAUGAGCCUGCGGCCCAUCAGCUAGUGGGCGGGGUAACAGCCCACCAAGGCAUAGACGGCUAGCUGGUCGGCGAGGAUGAACAGCCACACUGGAACUCAGACCCGGUCCAGACUCCUACGGGAGGCAGCAGUCGGGAAUCUUCCGCAAUGGGCGAAAGCCUGACGGAGCGACGCCGCGUGAGUGAUGAAGGCCUUCGGGUUGUAAAGCUCUGUGGGGAGGGAAGAAUAAGUUCAAGCGAAUACCUUGAAUGAUGACGGUACCUCCUUAGCAAGCACCGGCUAACUCUGUGCCAGCCGCCGCAGUAA
rnacentral:rRNA from 1 species